CAAUGCCUAUCGGUCUAUUUAUAAUGAUGAGUUUGAUUUGAAGAUCAAGGCCAUGAGAAAACUCCGAGUAAUCUAUUCCGACCCAGAUGCUACCGAUUGUUCUUCAGACGAAGAAGAAGACGAAUCGAGAAGAGACAAGAAAUCAAUUGGGUUAAAGCGUGUUAUUCAUCAGAUUGAUCUUGACGAAUCGAUUCCUUGUGAAAGCAAGAGAAGGCGGGUUAAGUGGACAACUCUAGUUAGGCACGUUCGAUUCAUCUGAAGAUACAAAAUCUGAGACUGUUUCGAAGCAAAAAGACGAGCCAAUUGAUUCUCCUUGUUCGGUGCUUGAAAGCGAGUGUUCAGAAGACUCUGGUGGGCUAGAAUUGAAGCAAUCUUCGCACAUUUCGAAUUGUGAAGAGUUCAAUUCAAGAUUAAUGGAGCUUGGUUCGUUGAUCAUCGACAACAAUGGGUUCCUCUUGGGCGAGUUUAGCCGCUUGGACGAUCUCUGGAUUUGCGACAUGAAAGAAUCAAUUGGAGUGUACUGGUUGGUUGUGGUGUAAGCAAGGGACCAACAACGAAAGAGGGGUUCACCACCACUAGAUCAAUCCCACUUUCCUCUGCUACUCUCCAUGCCUCUUUCUCUGCAAUAGUUUUUGCAUAUGCAUACCACAUCUGAUGCUCAAGCAAGAAUUUUACUCAACAUAUUAGUUCAAGUGAAAUUACAUUGUAGCGUUUGCAAUACUCCAGAUCACUCCAGUGAGAUUCAUUUAGAGGAGAGACUUGUUGGACAUCAUCACGGUAUCUUAUUGAAGAGCAGGAAGAUGUCAGUACAACCCGUCUCACACUGGUUGCUUUUGCGCAGGAGCUCAGAACAUUCAGUGUGCCCUUUAUACAUGGAUCAAUCAGAGUUUCCUGCAAUAGUAGGAAAGGUAUAAAUCUUAUUUUGCAUGUCUGUAAAUCUUAUUCUGCAUGUCAUGAACACUUUAGAAAUAAUUCAGUUUCAUGCUUGCCAAAUCAAAGGAAAAAGUGAGUUGUCUGACUUGGACAGUUAAAUUUAGUGGAGUUUGACUGCAAGUUUGUCUGCCCAUUCUAGUCACCGAGCUAAGCAUUUCUCAUGUUGCAGCUAAAGUUAGGUUAAUCAUAAUAACCACAUUAUGUGAGGUUAGGGUGUUGAGAUUUUGAUUAGGCAUUCACAGAAGCAGAAAGAUUGAAAUGACCUACACUUCUGUUGGAAGUAAUGGAAGAAAAAAUUAUUAGUGUUAUUCUUCUUUCAAUGAAGGAAUAUAUAGGUGAUAUAGAUACAGUAUCAUACAUGAUAUAGAUGUAGAGUAUCAGAGAUGAGCCAAUAAAUUUUGCUUCUUUGGAUGAAUGGGAAUUGCCCGUUAGAUAUGAAAUGCAUUGGGUUAAGUUUUGAAUAUAAAUUUAAAACAAUCAAUGUGUAUUUCUGUAUGAGGGUUCCGAGAU